UUUUUGUUCCAAGAGUUCUGCAGAAAAAAAAAAAAAAACAUUUUUCUCCCAUUCUUCACAGGGUUUUUCCCCUUGUAGGUGAAGGUCGAGGUUGCACCAUAGUGAUGUGAUGCCGAGGCCAGCGAGACCAGGAGUGGCAGCAGCAGGAUCACCAGUGUGGAGGCCAUAAUGCUGCAGACUCUCCUCUGUCUCUAAAUUUGUCGCGUGCAGGGUUUUUAUAUAUACCUGCUGGAGAAACUGACGAGCAGUCAUGCAACUUAAAAAGCAAGCAAACAAAUGAAAGGAAUCCUGCAUGCCUCUCCCGCUCAGCUAAAAAACAGAACCCAACCCAAAUGCAUCAUGGUCCUACAUCUGCCAUUCUACCUAUAUAACCU